rnacentral:rRNA from 1 species
UGAGGAAUAUUGGUCAAUGGACGGAAGUCUGAACCAGCCAAGUCGCGUGCAGGAAUACGGCCCUAUGGGUUUUAAACUGCUUUUAUACGAGGAUAAAAGACGUUAUGUAUAGCGUAUUGCAGGUAUCGUAUGAAUAAGGAUCGGCUAACUCCGUG